CUUCUGUUACCAGGAAGCCUGAGCUGGAUGGAGAUGACAGCAUCUUUUCUUCUCUUCCUUAAUGUACCUUUUCUGAUGCCUUUUUGUUACUCAUCUUCAUAUGGUCCCUCUGCCAGCUAGAAGCAGGCUUGGCUUGGAGCUUCUGCUUGUUGCAGUGGUCUAGGCAGCAAUUUUUGUUUUGUUUUGACUGUUGGUUUAGUUGGCUUCUGUGAGGCAGUCUGCCGCAAAGAGAAACUGGUUGUUUUAUUUUCUUUUGUAUCUUUGCCUGAGGAGUGCUGCUACAUCCUGAUAUCCAUUAAAGACCAUGUUCCUUCUCCUGCUAAUUUUGAACCUGGGAAUGAAGCCUCAUCAGACAGCAGACACAACAAAAAGAUCUGUUACCACAAUACGGACAGAAAUAAAUGGAACUAUUUGAACCUGUGGUCUCAGGAGCUGGGUGACCUGAUGGGACAUCCUCAAGAAGCUUCUGGACUCUGAACAAGAAUUCCUUGGCAUGCAGAGCUUGGUUGUUUGUCUUUUCAAAUGCCUUUGAAUGAGCCAGCACUUUAAUCUGGAGACUGCAACAAGACUACACAGCACCCGGCCAUGAUGUGCUUUAGAGGAAGUCAGGCAGCCCACCCCUUCACUGACCUGGGCCCUCACCUAUGCCUCUAAGUAAACACUAUUGCACUUUAGAAAAUGACCUUACUGGAUCUUAGACCCCAGUGAGUGUCCUGAGGCUCCUUCUUGCUGCCAGACUGAAAACAAUGUUAAUUUAUUGCCCUAAGUUUCCAAAAUGAUUUCCAGAAGCAGAGAUAAGUGGAUAUUUCCAGUUAUAGAAAUGGGCAGAUUGCCAAUAGGGUUAUUUUUGUCUAUAAAAUGUUUUCCAGUUUCCUCCGGCUACUGGAAAACCUGUUGAGACUUUAAGCUCAUAGGCAGGGCUUUAUACAAAAUCAAGUCAUAAUUGACAUAUUUUAUGGCUUACUGGAAUCUCAAAAGCUCCUGAGUUGUUCUAAUUAGCAGAAAGCAUUUCUGUACACAGAGUGACCAACUACAAACUGCCAGAAAAGCCAUUAUUUUUGUGAGGUCUAAAUCACAAAGCAUUUAUUUUAACUUGUAAUGGCAUCAUAUUGAAUGGUGUUUUUUUAAACUACAUCUUUCCUUCAAAACGUGUUUUUUUAACCUCAGAUACCAAUGAUAAACAUUAAAAUUUUUUGACAUGCUAA